ACACAGUCCUUCGAAGCCUCCCUCCCAAACAGAGUCCUGCGUUUCGCAGCUUAGGGUUGAAAGUAUUGUUUUGAGUAUAAUAUCAAUGCUUUCCAGUCCUAAUGACGAAUCCCCUACAAAUGUUGAAGCAGCAAAGGAAUGGAGAGAUAGGAGAGAUGAUUUCAAGAAGAAGGUCAGCAGGUGUGUAAGAAAAUCACAAGAAAUGUUAUAAUCCAUC